AUGCGUCGCCGCGACAGUAUGUCCCUGUUGACCGUUGGUGCCACCAGUCUGCUGAUGGUCCUCAUGGUCACCAGGGAGCUUGUCAUUGAUGUUCUCCACGACGCCCUUCUUCUCGCCGGUGUCGGCGCCGUGCAUCCCCGUGCCGGUGGCUCCGGUGUGUCCGUGCUGCCCGUAGGCACCAUCGGUGACCGGGGUGCCAUGCGUCCCCGCAGUGGUGUGUCCCUGCUGCCCGUGGGUGGCAGCGGCCGGCUGGUGAUCACCGUGGCUGCUGGAGAGCUUCUCCUUGAUCUUGCUCAUGAUGCUCUUCUUCUCGCCGGUGCCGUGUCCCUGGUGCUCCAUCCAGCGCCGAACUUGUCACUCGGGAAAUCUACUAGUGGUGUUGUUCACUUGGAGCAGGUGGUUGUGUGA
rnacentral:rRNA from 1 species